ensembl:Mt_tRNA AY172581.22
GAGGAUUUAGCUUAAUUAAAGCAGUUGAUUUGCAUUUAACAGAUGUAAGAUAUAGUCUUACAGUCCUUA